CAGCAACAAAUAAAAGUAAGUGUGCAAAAUACUUUUAUUGAAUUCUUAUAAAAACACAAUGCAUUUCACAAAAAACAGGCUUUAUCAACUGACAAAGCCUGUUUUUUGGCGAAACGCGUUGUGUUUUUAAUAAGAAUGCACUAAAAAUGAUAAAGCCUGUUUUUUGGUGAAACGCGUUGUGAACACCGUAAGUACCAUUUUACCUUUCAAUGCUAUUUUUUAUACGGUAAACACUAU